rnacentral:tRNA from 1 species
GUUUUUGUAAUUUAAAUUAAAAAUAUUGAUUUUGUAAAUCAAAAAUAAUGUAAAUUCGUAAACA